rnacentral:rRNA from 1 species
UGGGGAAUAUUGGACAAUGGGCGAAAGCCUGAUCCAGCCAUGCCGCGUGUGUGAAGAAGGCCUUUUGGUUGUAAAGCACUUUAAGUGGGGAGGAAAAGCUUAUGGUUAAUACCCAUAAGCCCUGACGACGUUACCCACAGAAUAAGCACCGGCUAACUCUGUGCCAGCAGCCGCGGUAAUACAGAGGGUGCAAGCGUUAAUCGGAAUUACUGGGCGUAAAGCGCGCGUAGGUGGUUAUUUAAGUCAGAUGUGAAAGCCCCGGGCUUAACCUGGGAACUGCAUCUGAUACUGGAUAACUAGAGUAGGUGAGAGGGGAGUAGAAUUCCAGGUGUAGCGGUGAAAUGCGUAGAGAUCUGGAGGAAUACCGAUGGCGAAGGCAGCUCCCUGGCAUCAUACUGACACUGAGGUGCGAAAGCGUGGGUAGCACAGGAUUAAUACCCUGGUAGUCCACGCCGUAACGAUGUCUACCAGUCGUUGGGUCUUUUAAAGACUUAGUGACGCAGUUACGCAAUAAGUAGACCGCUGGGGAGUACGGCGAGGU